rnacentral:tRNA from 1 species
ACCUGGCUGGCUUAGUCAGAAGAGCAUGAGACUCAUGAUCUCAGGGUUGUGAGUUCAAGCCCCAUAUUGGGUG